AAAAACAUAGCUUUAUGUAUUUAAUAUAAGGUGAUACCUGCCCGGUGAGUUUUAAACGGCCGCAGUACUUUGACUGUGCUAAGGUAGCAUAAUAAAUUGGCUUUUAAUUGGGGUCUGGAAUGAAUGGAUAAAUGAAUAUAAUCUUUCUAAGCUUAAUUUUAAGUAACUUACUUAAAAGGUGAAAAUUCCUUUAAUAACUUUAAUAGACGAGAAGACCCUAGGAGUUUCUUUUUUUUGUUGGGGCGACAUUAUAGCAACUAUAAACCUAUAAUAUACAUGUGCACACACACCAAAAGGUUUUAACUAUGAUUAAACUACCCUAGGGAUAACAGCAUAAUUUAAUUUAAGAUUGUGACCUCGAUGUUGGACUAGGAAUAUUUAAUAUUAACUAUAUUAAAAUUUUGUUCUGUUCGAACAUUUCUCCUACAUGAUCUG
rnacentral:rRNA from 1 species